GAUGAAGAACGUAGCGAAAUGCGAUAAGUAAUGUGAAUUGCAGAAUUCAGUGAAUCAUCGAAUCUUUGAACGCACCUUGCACCCUUUGGCAUUCCGAAGGGUAUGCUCGUUUGAGUGUCAUUGUACUCUCACACUUCCAAUCUUUGGAUUGGGGGCGGUGGACUUGGGUGUUGCUGCUUACUGUGGCUCACCUCAAAUUGAUUCGUGCACCUUUUGGUUGGACAUAGUACGGCGUGAUAAGUGUCUUCGCCGGCACCUCAGUAGAGGGUGGCUGAUCGGGAGCUCUGUGCUUCAAACCGUCCUCGGACAACAACUGACAACUUGACCUCAAAUCGAGUAGGACUACCCGCUGAACUUAAGCAUAUCAAUAAGCGGAGGA
rnacentral:misc_RNA from 1 species